GUCCCUGAAGCGCAAUAGAUAGCGCGUUAGACUUCUAAUCCAAAGGUCGUGGUUUCGAGUCCCAACCUGGGAUG